GGGGAAUAUUGGGCAAUGGGCGCAAGCCUGACCCAGCAACGCCGCGUGAAGGAAGAAGGCUUUCGGGUUGUAAACUUCUUUUAUUCGGGACGAAAAAAAUGACGGUACCGAAUGAAUAAGCCACGGCUAACUACGUGCCAGCAGCCGCGGUAAUACGUAGGUGGCAAGCGUUAUCCGGAUUUACUGGGUGUAAAGGGCGUGUAGGCGGGACUGCAAGUCAGAUGUGAAACCCAUGGGCUCAACCCAUGGCCUGCAUUUGAAACUGUGGUUCUUGAGUGUCGGAGAGGUAAUCGGAAUUCCGUGUGUAGCGGUGAAAUGCGUAGAUAUACGGAGGAACACCAGUGGCGAAGGCGGAUUACUGGACGAUAACUGACGCUGAGGCGCGAAAGCGUGGGGAGCAAAC
rnacentral:rRNA from 1 species